rnacentral:rRNA from 1 species
UAGGGAAUCUUCCACAAUGGACGCAAGUCUGAUGGAGCAACGCCGCGUGAGUGAAGAAGGUCUUCGGAUCGUAAAACUCUGUCGUUAGAGAAGAACACGAGUGAGAGUAACUGUUCAUUCGAUGACGGUAUCUAACCAGCAAGUCACGGCUAACUACGUGCCAG